GGAGCUGUGCGCAUGCUCGCGGACUCCACCACGCGGGCGAACGUUAGCGUUUGUAACGGUGACCCGGCCGCUUCCUUCCCGCGCGGCGGGCAAUGGUGCCCCGGUCGGCAUCGGCAUCGGCAUCGGCGUCCAUCGAGCUCUUUCAGCCAACACGACCUCUGGUCGCCCACAGAUCAGACUUUAAUGCAUCUUAUCUUCCCAUGGCCAGAAAAACGUUGACGUGGCGCCUUCUCGUGCACCGAGACCUCGGGGCCACAACAGAACGACCGAGAAAACGUGCUGAAUCGUGUUCCAGAGGAGAGUGUAGAGCCAGCGAGACCGCAUCCACCGUUGAUCUGUUGUGCCGGUAAGCGAACUGCAGUGGGUCCAGGUUUUUGUCGAGGUAGGAGUUGAUUUGCGCCAUGAUCAACCUCUCAAAGCACUUCAUCACCACCGACGUAGUGCCACAGAGAAAAAUAGGAAACAUUGGAAUUCAGAAAAAGCCAAGGCAAAAGAGGACAGGAGAGUGGCAAGAAACAUAAAAACAGAUUAUAAGAGCUUCUGGAGUGGAUGAGCAGUACAUGCCUUUUACAAACCUGAACAACAUUGGGGCUUGGCUGUAAAGAUCUAAAUAACAUUUGAGAAGUUGAAGAAGGCAUCGGCCAUCCCCAACACAGUGGAUGAGCAGUACAUGCCUUUUACAAACCUGAACAACAUUGGGGCUUGGCUGUAAAGAUCUAAAUAACAUUUGAGAAGUUGAAGAAGGCAUCGGCCAUCCCCAACACAGUGGAUGAGCAGUACAUGCCUUUUACAAACCUGAACAACAUUGGGGCUUGGCUGUAAAGAUCUAAAUAACAUUUGAGAAGUUGAAGAAAGCAUCGGCCAUCCCCAACACAGAUAUUUUCAACAGACGUCUUACAAACCAUAAGAAAUGCAACAUGAAUGGAUUGGAUGUUGAUAUCUACUGUUGUGCCCGUUUUGAAGAAUAUGAAGGUGCUGUAUUGCUAUUUAUUAACAAGUGCAAGUCCUCAUUGGUGGAAAUGAGGACGCGAUGAAAAAAUCAUUUCUCGUGCUGUCUCAACGAGCCAUGGAUCUACAUUUUGUCAUUGGGUAAUAUUAUUUCGAGAUACCACAGACCCAAGGAUGUGAUGAUUGGUUGACUAUCAGAGGUGAAAGGUCUGAACCAGAUUCAGGAGCAGGCUGAGUUUGAGGGUGUUGUAAGUGCCUGGAGGGACAAUCUGUGCAGCAAAGAUGUCAGCAAGAACGGCUGUAAAUCUCCAGGGUGAAGACAUUGUGAUGGACAGCAGAUAUUUGAAGUUGUCGUUGAUGACAGGUAAAUAAGCAAUUGGUGUUCCAAAAGAAGCGGGGAGCUCACUUCCACUCAAGCAUGAGAUAAUGAUGGUGAUAGAAGAGAAUCAAGAACCUGCUGCUAGCCUAAAGAACUAACCCACCUGCAGAUUUCUUUUCUUGGACCUUUUUAAGGGGAUGUUAUCUGAACAUUAGUGAUCCUGAGCACUCCACCACAAAGUGGAUUUUUGGACCCUGUAUUCUUAUUGAUGUGCACUUAAACAUUGUUUUGCAGUUUGAUGCAAGAAAAUUAAAUAUUUAAUUAAAAUACCAGGAAAUUGCUGGCAGUAUUUAUUAG